ACAACUCCCACACCGUAAACUGAUUGGCAGUUUUAUUUCUGCGGAAUAAAUCGAAGUGAGUUAUGUGCGUUUUUGUAACAAAAGAGUGCAUAAAAUAUGUAGAAACUGCACAUAAGGCCAAUUAAAGCGCAUAGGAACAUAAUAUCCUGGUUAAAGCAGUUAGCAGCGCUGUUGGAGUUAGUCUUAAGGAAACUCAACACUUCCCACAAAAGUCUUCAAUAAACCAGACAACAAACAGCUGGUAUGAAAAUGAAAUGAUGUUAACCCAACUGGAAUAACCAACCGAAUUACAAAACGAAAAAUUCAUAAACGCACAAAACGAAAAAGCAAUAAAAAAAGCUAAUAUAAAAAUAUAUAUUAAAAUAAAAAGGAGCUAAAAGCAGGUCAUUCUGUAACACACCUCAUUAAUUAAGUGAUAUAAUAUAUAGAGCACAUUCAAAUCUAGCUAGCAACUUAUGUUACCAUCAUAGACAUGACAUCAUACGCCGCCACAAACGAUACAUCGCAUACCACAAGUCCGGCAACAGCAAAUAGUGAAGCAGUAGGAGAUGAGCACAACACUACCACAGCCUGUUCAGUUGAGGUAAUGCCUACAAAGAACAAUUCACCAAUAGAUCAUUUGACAACGAAAUUGGCGGCUACACCAUUACAAGAUUUACACUUUGACAACCAGUAUUGUUUUGAUAGUGAUUCCCUAUCGGAUGGAAGGGAAAAAGCAGACACUACCCCAGAAAACAUAAAAAAGAUUGAUGAUGUCAUUAAUGAAGAUCGACGGCAAAAACGAACGGCAUUUCUAACGCAACAACAUCAAUACGAUGUCAACGGCUCAGCCGUAGCUGCAGGUGCGGAUAUCUCAGCAAAGCUUAAACUUGGUUACGGCUCUGUUGGCUUGGCGGCUGCGGUCGAUGAUUCAAAUGCAAAAAUUCGCCUUGCAAAAACGCUGUGCAGCACAAAAGAUACGCUUCACAAAGACAGGCGCGUUGAAAAUACGAACGUUAUGGCUUCAUCAUUGCCACUACAAGAAGCUGAUGACAAUGGUAAUGAACACAAACUGGACAAUGCCAUAAGCAAAUGUGAAACACCUGAAGACGUUUCGAGUGCCUCUAAUAAUUCCACCAUUACCACUACAACAAGCAAGCAGUCGUACGCUUUUACGAUUGAUAAUUUUAGUGAAAAAGAUUGUGAUCCAGCUGCAGCAGCAGCAAAAUACAAAAGUCUAUUGGAACGCUUUCAGAGUAGGCAUAGAAGAGGUGCUUCAAUGUCGAAAAUAGAAAACAAUACUACAAAUGAGAGUCCAACUUCAAUAACUGCAUCUACUUCAGCGUCCCCUUUAACACCGCGCAGUGUCAAGAAUCGAGAAGAUAACGAAAAUGAUGGACAAGUUCAGGAUAGUAUUGAAACACCACCAAAGGUAAAACUGCGUGCACGCGAUCGUAGUACCUCUCGCGUACGAGAUGCUUCAAAGCGUCACAGUUGGUCGCCCCGUUCAAGUACACAAGAACCGUUAAAUAGUCAAACGCAAUCAACAGUAAGUACAGCGUCGAAAACAGCAACGCCAGCAUCAAAAAAGAAUACCACAAACCGUAAAUCUACGGUAACUGCAGCGCAACAAGUUCCGAAAGGGGCUUCGAACUUGGUUGCAAAUCGUACACACUUCACGCCACGUUCGACUGCAAUGCAAAUGGCUCUGCAAAAAGUUGACUUUAUGUGCCCACAACCACCAUUAAGUGAUUAUAGGUGCUUAGAUACGGAUGCCGAUGCAGAUAAUGUUAGUGAAACAGGCACGUAUACGCUUGAUGGUGAUAACUACACUGAGGAACAAAAAGAAGUUAUGAACAUUGACUGUGGUGGGGAUGAUACAAAUAAGAAUCGCCCUAAAAACCUAAACCUUAGUAGACAUAAUCCCGAAUCAACAGUUAGUUCGACUAAAAUACCAGUUCAUGUGAGUACUCGCACAAAUAAUGUGCUGGAAGUGAAUUAUUAUCAUGAAUUAGCAGAACAGGCGCAGCGUUCAAAUCCUUCUGCGACUUCAAACGAUUUGUUACUAGGCAGUCACCAGUCUGCUGGUGAUUAUUUAGAGAAACUGAAAUCUAGAGUUUUGCGUAAUGUUGGUGGGAAAAAAGAUGGUGCUGGUGAUUUUCUAAGUAGCAGUAGCAGUUGUGAGGGAGGUAUAAGUCUAUCUAGUAGCCAUAAAAAUAAGAAGUUCCCUGUAAGUAAUAGUCAGAAAACAUCUACAGAAGAGGAAGACGUUGGCUGCUUUACCAGUGUGACUACAAGUGGUGUAUUAGCUAAACAACCGACACUAGAAGCGACACCAAAGACUGCAAGACUAUGUCUAUCCACUUCUCAAAUUGAUUCUUCUGAGUAUAUAAGUAACGAAUCGAAAUUGAAAAAUCCCGCUGCUUCGUCAUACGCAAAAGGUGGUUUUACUGAUCAUCAGAAGGCUGCGUAUCGUCUUAAUGUAUUUACUAAUCAAAAGGAUUCACAGAAAUUCGCAGCUACUCGUAAACUCAUAGAAUCGCCGCCAGAAUCACCUGUUGAAUUAUCUGAUACAGCCAUUCUAAAAACAGCAAGUUCCAAAAAUGAUUGGAUUAAAGAAUGGGCGCGAAAUGCGCGUGCGCGUAGCCUUGCUAAUGAUACUGGCUCUCACAGUAAGCAAGAUACGCAGGAACUUAUGACACGCAGUUAUACGUGUGCUUCUGGCAGUGACGGCGUUAACGAUGAGAAGCUGCUUGGCAAACAUAUGUCACAUACAAAGCUUAACAAAACGCUAGCGGAACGUUUACGGGUAGCUACGGAUUGUGAUUAUACCAGUGAUCCCACUCUAUCAACAUAUUCUAAAAUAAAUCAAGACGUUAACUACAAACCGCCUAAAAGUCCCACUAAAAUACCAUCCCCGAUGCAUACAUUAUCUCGUGCACGUAGUGUAACACGUCCACGUGGUUCGUUACAGAAUAUUGUGUGUGCUGAUGAUGAAGAUAUUUACUUACAAAAUACAGCAUUAGCUAUAAAUACCUUGCAACAAUCCUUAUCACGUAAGAAUUCCUUAAAAUCUAUACCGCAAUCUGGUUCACCACGCGCAUAUUCAGCACGGCCUUCUUCUAAUUCAGUAUACUCUCCGGAAGCGAUUAGUCCGGAGCAUAGUUAUAACUCACCUACAACUGGUUAUCAGCAACGUUCGCCUUUACACAGGCGUAAUAAUCAACAACAAAUUAAUGCACGUAACCAGUUGAUGACGAGCAGCAUUAAUGAACAACAGUUAGCUUUACUAACCAGUGGUGAAUAUUUGGUAAAACAAAUGCGUAUGCGAAAGAACUCAUUUGAUGGUACUAUUGGUAACUCGCCCAAGCAAGCACAAGAAAAAUAUAUUCAAACUCCAAAUACAGAAAGCGAUCAAGAUUCACCACUUCGUCGUUCAAGUUCGUUUUCAACAAAAAUAGCUACUCAACGUACAGCACGUCCACAAUACCAGAAUAUAUAUACACCGCCAGCACUACGUAACAAUUAUGUACCCACUAAUACUAAUGGUUCUACUAAUUCUCGACCAACAGUAUCAUCAUCUCAUAUGACCAAAUCUGCAAGUUCUAAUAAUUUUGGACGCAUGUACAGUGAUUACGAUGACAAUUUACAAUAUUACAUAAAUGAUGAAGAUGAUGCUGGCGAUGAAUAUUACAGAUAUAGUGAUGGAGAGGAUGGACAGGGCAUAGACGACAACUAUUACGAACCAGAUGAACUUGUACACUCUACUGCCGACACGCCUGUAGACACCCAAAAUGUGCCACUAACUAAUACACGUUAUAAUAAAGCAUUGCUAAUGCGAAUUGAGCGUAGCAAACAGAGGGUUGCUGGUAAACCUACUUCAGCGCCGGCGCAAGGAAGAAAUGCUUUAACCGGUGCAGGUGUUGCCGCUUGCCCAAAUACACCCGAGUUACCUAGACGUAAUGUUAAGAGUGCUGUUACACGUACCGGUGCUAUGACAUCACGGCAAUCAGUGCCACGUGAUACCAGCUUAAGCCGUUUAGCCACACAAGUACCAAAUUCAUUAGCAUCAGCCAAAAAGCAGUUGCUGCAAACAGCUGCAGCGGUGCCGAAUACUGCAAAACCUACAACAACAACAACACGAGUUCAACCAAAAUAUAUGGAUAUCUCAAAAUAUAAACCAGCACAAAGCAAUAAUUUUCUGCGUAAAAAUGAUACGAGAAGUACUUUAAAAACUGAUGCCAUCAAACGUAGUCCAAGUGCCACCGGAAUAUCAAUGAAUCGUGCUGAUCCAACGCGCAUGAGCAACCGUAGCGUUAAAUCGGUAGCAUCUAAUAUGACAGCAAGUACCAAUAACUCUGUGAGUUCUGCUAGAGCAUCGUCUGCUGCGCGGAGAGAUGUUUCAGUUACAAAACAAAAGGAAGCUGAAUUAGCUAUGUGGAAGCGACGUGCUACAUACGAUCCAAUGAAAGCUGCUGCCGAAGAUCGUCGCCGUAAAGAAGAAGCUAAGAAAAUGGCCAGAAAUAGUGGAGAACUCAAUUAUGAAAGACCAUCACGAUCCCUUUAUCGCAGAGGAUACUUAUGACCUGAAGGAGUGCUUAUAACCGACCUCUAAAAAGGUCAACAGCAGCUCCUGAAGCAUAUAAUUUUAGAGAAUUUAACUAGAAAUGCUUACUUACUAAAUGGUGAUUGAGACGCUAAAUGGAGAGAAGUUAGUGUUAUUUAAUUUACCAAACUAAACAAAAUAUAUUUUUUGAAAAUACAAAAUAAACAAUUACGAUAUUUCGAUACGAUAUACGAUAUACGACUUCACUGGAAUAUAUUUAUGGGAAUUUUGGUGCAACAUGCUAAAAAGCACAGCACAAGCUAGCAGCGAACCUUCAAAUUUUAGUCAACAAAAUUCAAUUGAAGAACAGGAAGGAGAAUGGAUAAUUGGUGAGAC